rnacentral:lncRNA from 1 species
AUGUAUCUUUUGGUUUCUGUGAAAUAGUCAAAGUUAAAAUUGUAGAUAAAAAAUGACGCAAAAGUUGAAGACAACAAAAUCAGCCAGCUUGAACACUCAUGUUGAAGUAGAAAUCGAUAUAGAACGAUUGGACAAACAAAUGUGCAGUAGUAUGCCUCCACCGACAGUAGAGACAUUAAAUUACAAUCAUAACAGACUGAACUGAAAAGAAUUAUGGUGAACGAGUGAUAUGAUUAAUUCAACUUGGCAAGAUGAGAUGAGAUGUUUCAGGUGGACUCAUAAAUGAGCUGAAAUCUGGCCCAACCACAUGUUCUUGGUAGGUCAGAAGGGCGUGUCACCCAUGAAAGACUUUCAACAUUUUGAAAAUUCUCCAUGCUCUUAAAAAAAAGGAGGAAAUUUGACUUUAUUAUAAGGUUAUCCAUUUUUAACAAACUCAGAACCAUAACUUGAAUCUUAUCAUUCAGUCUUCAUAAAGUCCUAUUGUUAUCAAGCAUUGUGAUGGUAAACCACAAGAUGUUAUGGUCAUGUGCAACAGGGUUUUGAGGAGGUUCCAUGAACGAAAAGGGUUCAAAUUUGUGGAUGAGAACUUGGAGCGAACUAAGAUGGAAGAUGCCUGAACAGAUUUGAAAAGAGGCAUCAACAAUAUG